ACACAGAGAACAUGAAACAAUGGGUGUUACCUAUUACACACUGUAAGGAGAGUGAUGAGGUACUGGAGUCUGAAGGACUUAGAUACAUGGUUGGAUGUUUACCUGAGCAUUUCUAUUGUGACAUCAAGAUUUUGGCAGGAUGUCACUAUGCUCGUAGGUCAACACUGCUGUUUCCCCAAAGGGCUCUGUGGUGCCUUAAUUUGCAAGACACAAUGUGUGAGUGAGAAAGACACGGGGGGAGGUGUGCACAGGGGUUUUGCACUAGUCUAGCUCCAGUCUCCGGGGGCAUUCUGUCUGGGGACAUAGACAAUGGAAUGAGUGUGCUGGAAAGAAGUGCGGGCCAUUUUUUCAAGCUGGAGCAUGUGCUUCACCGCACAGCUGCUGCAGUCUGCUAGCCUAUGCAGAAGAGGAGGAAAGCCAGAGCAUUCAAACUAACAGCCCUGUAGUUUAAACAGCCGCAAGGCAUUCUCCGUAAGGGGUCUAUGAAUUACAACUUAUUUCCUUUAGUCCACUGGAUUUGGUGGCCCUCUUGGUACGCAGCAAGAUUCAUCUAUUCCCCCCAAAAUGUUGGAGAUGGAAAGGCAGUUUGGGGGAUAGAGGGAUGUUCAUGCCUGGAUUAGCCAAUCCGCACUCAAUUUACUUGCACAGGACUCCUGAUCUAAAAGAGGCCCUGGCCAGCUUUGGGCCUAGGGUUGCCACCUGGUCCGUUUUUAAAGGGCCUGGACAGUUUUUCUCCUUCAUUGCUGGUUGCAAUGUUCCUUUUUUCCCUACUUGUAAUUUACAAGUUAUUUGUAAGUUAUUUAAGUCAGUAACAUCUCCCUCCCCAUUAAAACCAGCAACAGCUGCUGCACACAUGAGGUGGGGGUAGGGGCGCACCAGCAGCUGCUUUCACUAUGGCAUGCAGGUCACAUAACUGCUGGGAUCACUCCUAGAGUGGUAACCUAUAUUCCGCUCCAUACGCCAGACCCUCAACCUGCUGGCAUGGCGGCUAAGGCUCCUGCUCCUCUCCUUGCCGGAAAGCAGGACACACCUGUAAUGGCAUGCUAAAUUGUAUUUUUCUGUUCAGCCACAUGUAUUAUACCUUAACAAGCUCGCAACAGCUGAGCCAUUCUUGGCAGUACAUUAAAGGGUCUUAUCAUGAACAAAACUGAGAGGGAAUCUCUGUGACCAGUCCAUAUCUGGUACAGAAACCUGACAUGUUAGUAGCAGCCCUGCAACCUACUGUUUAUAAGGUGUAGGUGACAUGGAGUCAGAAGCAAACUAGUGCCAGAGUGAACAGAAACAGAAGGAACAAAGCAACAAAGGUUGCAGACAGAAGGAGGGGAAAAAGCAACAAAUUUUGCAAAAUUUCAUUAACAUCCCACUGUUCAGUGCCCCAGAGAACUUCAGCUGUGAUAAACCUUCCCAAUGGAGAGACUACAAACAGUAUUUUGCAAGAUUUCACAUUACAACCAAACUCCAAAAGGAAACUGGAGAUAUUCAGGGGCCAAAUGAUGAAAAUGCCUUCAAAAAGAUAAAACAAAUAAUCUCAACAGCUUCAGUUCUCAAGUACUAUGAUGUGAACAACCCACAAUGUCCAGCAAGGAUGCACGCAGCUAUGGCCUAGGUGGUAUACUGUGUUCCCUCUGAGGUGCGUGGCUGCACAGAAGUCCAUCAAAGGCCUCACACACAGUACUAAUAUUUCCUCAUAUGGAAGUUUUCCCAUGACUUUCUCACAUAAUCCGAUGAAGUUACAAUGGCUCCCAGAUCUCAGCAUUGCCUUGAUAUUUAUUUGUGCUGCACAUAGCAAAAUUCAUUCCGCACAUGGAUGGAAAGAAUUAGAGGGAACAUUGGUGGUAUAUUGUUGCAACAACAUUGAUUUGAGUUAAAGCCAAUUGUAUUUUGCUCUCAUACACUCACAGAUGCAUAAAAAUAAUAUGGACGUAUUGAAAAAGGAGUGACUGGCAAGCAUAUGGGCACAUGAGAACUUUUUUUCAUAUAUCAGUAUGGAUUAGACUCUUAUACAUCGAUAACAGACCAUAUACUGUUUUAACCCUCAUCUGUGGAAAAGACCUGAAUCAAACACCACGGAGACACCAAUGUCUUUUGAUAAAGUUAAUGUGAUUUAACCUGUUUGCUAAAUAUGUUGCUGGGAAAAAUCUGGUGGUAGUAGACACUGUCACGGAGCCCAGAUCAACUACUUGUGAACUAGAAGAUGAUGUAAAGCGGACAUGGAUGCUCUGGACACAUACACACCAGGAUCAGAAAAGAGAUCACACCAGCUAUAACAAGCAACCUUGAGACAUACACACAACUUUUAAGAAGUUCUAAGUUACGUUAGGCUGGCCCAAGUAUCUAAAGAACACUAAGGAAGUGACAAGAGACCACUUUAUGGUAUGUAGACAAUUAAGUGAUUCAGAUGGACUCAUAAUUAAAAGUGACUGCAUCAUAAUUCCAAAUGAAAUGAGAGGAGAAAUCCUAAAUCUUUAUAUCCUUCAUGGAUCAGGACUAACUAAAUGGGCUAACUAGUCAGUGUGGAAGCUGGGCAUCAGCAAAGACAUAAAGAAUAAAAAGAAAAGAAGUACUUGUGGCACCUUAGAGACUAACAAAUUUAUUUGAGCAUAAGCUUUCGUGAGCUACAGCUCACUUCAUCGGAUGCAUGUACAUCGGAUGUAGCUCACGAA